GGACCGGGAUAACCCUGGGAAACUGGGGAUAAUACUGGAUAGGCAAUUUUUCCUGUAAUGGUUUUUUGUUUAAAUGUUUUUUCGCCUAAGGAUGGGUCUGCGGCCGAUUAGGUAGUUGGUUAGGUAAUGGCUUACCAAGCCGUUGAUCGGUACGGGUUGUGAGAGCAAGAGCCCGGAGAUGGAACCUGAGACAAGGUUCCAGGCCCUACGGGGUGCAGCAGGCGCGAAACCUCCGCAAUGUGAGAAAUCGCGACGGGGGGAUCCCAAGUGCCAUUCUUAACGGGAUGGCUUUUCAUUAGUGUAAAGAGCUUUUGGAAUAAGAGCUGGGCAAGACCGGUGCCAGCCGCCGCGGUAACACCGGCAGCUCUAGUGGUAGCAAUUUUUAUUGGGCCUAAAGCGUCCGUAGCCGGUUUAAUAAGUCUCUGGUGAAAUUUUGCAGCUUAACUGUGGGAAUUGCUGGAGAUACUAUUAGACUUGAGACCGGGAGAGGUUAGAGGUACUCCCAGGGUAGAGGUGAAAUUCUGUAAUCCUGGGAGGACCGCCUGUUGCGAAGGCGUCUAACUGGAACGGUUCUGACGGUGAGGGACGAAAGUUAGGGGCGCGAACCGGAUUAGAUACCCGGGUAGUCCUAACUGUAAACGAUGCGGACUUGGUGUUGGGGUGGCUUUGAGCUGCUUCAGUGCCGAAGGGAAGCUGUUAAGUCCGCCGCCUGGGAAGUACGGUCGCAAGACUGAAACUUAA
rnacentral:rRNA from 1 species